UACACUCCUGCGGGAGGCAGCAGUGGGGAAUUUUGGACAAUGGGCGAAAGCCUGAUCCAGCAAUGCCGCGUGAGUGAAGAAGGCCUUCGGGUUGUAAAGCUCUUUUGUCAGGGAAGAAACGGUGAAAGCUAAUAUCUUUUGCUAAUGACGGUACCUGCAGAAUAAGCACCGGCUAACUACGUGCCAGCAGCCGCGGUAAUACGUAGGGUGCAAGCGUUAAUCGGAAUUACUGGGCGUAAAGCGUGCGCAGGCGGUUUUGUAAGUCUGAUGUGAAAUCCCCGGGCUCAACCUGGGAAUUGCAUUGGAGACUGCAAGGCUAGAAUCUGGCAGAGGGGGGUAGAAUUCCACGUGUAGCAGUGAAAUGCGUAGAUAUGUGGAGGAACACCGAUGGCGAAGGCAGCCCCCUGGGUCAAGAUUGACGCUCAUGCACGAAAGCGUGGGGAGCAAACAGGAUUAGAAACCCCAGUAGUCCCAUGA
rnacentral:rRNA from 1 species